GGCGGACGGGUGAGUAAUGCCUAGGAAUCUGCCUGGUAGUGGGGGAUAACGUCCGGAAACGGGCGCUAAUACCGCAUACGUCCUGAGGGAGAAAGUGGGGGAUCUUCGGACCUCACGCUAUCAGAUGAGCCUAGGUCGGAUUAGCUAGUUGGUGGGGUAAAGGCCUACCAAGGCGACGAUCCGUAACUGGUCUGAGAGGAUGAUCAGUCACACUGGAACUGAGACACGGUCCAGACUCCUACGGGAGGCAGCAGUGGGGAAUAUUGGACAAUGGGCGAAAGCCUGAUCCAGCCAUGCCGCGUGUGUGAAGAAGGUCUUCGGAUUGUAAAGCACUUUAAGUUGGGAGGAAGGGCAGUAAGUUAAUACCUUGCUGUUUUGACGUUACCAACAGAAUAAGCACCGGCUAACUUCGUGCCAGCAGCCGCGGUAAUACGGAGGGUGCAAGCGUUAAUCGGAAUUACUGGGCGUAAAGAGUACGUAGGUGGUUUAUUUAGUCAGAUGUGAAAUCCCUGAGCUUAACUUAGGAACUGCAUUUGAAACUGAUAGACUAGAGUUUCGUAGAGGGGGGUAGAAUUCCAGGUGUAGCGGUGAAAUGCGUAGAGAUCUGGAGGAAUACCAGUGGCGAAGGCGGCCCCCUGGGCGAAAACUGACACUCAGGUACGAAAGCAUGGGGAGCAAACAGGAUUAGAUACCCUGGUAGUCCAUGCUGUAAACGAUGUCGAUUUGAAGGUUGUGACUUUGAGUUAUGGCUUUCGGAGCUAACGCGUUAAAUCGACCGCCUGGGGAGUACGACCGCAAGGUUAAAACUCAAAUGAAUUGACGGGGGCCCGCACAAGCGGUGGAGCAUGUGGUUUAAUUCGAUGCAACACGAAGAACCUUACCUACUCUUGACAUCCAAAGAACCAUAUAGAGAUAUAUGGGUGCCUUCGGGAACUUUGAGACAGGUGCUGCAUGGCUGUCGUCAGCUCGUGUUGUGAAAUGUUGGGUUAAGUCCCGCAACGAGCGCAACCCUUAUCCUUUGUUGCCAUCGAGUAAAGUCGGGAACUCAAAGGAGACUGCCGGUGAUAAACCGGAGGAAGGUGAGGAUGACGUCAAGUCAUCAUGGCCCUUAUGAGUAGGGCUACAAACGUGCUACAAUGGCGUAUACAAAGAGAAGCGAUCUUGCGAAAGUUAGCAAACCUCAUAAAGUACGUCUUAGUCCGGAUUGGAGUCUGCAACUCGACUCCAUGAAGUCGGAAUCGCUAGUAAUCGUGGAUCAGAAUGUCACGGUGAAUACGUUCCCGGGCCUUGUACACACCGCCCGUCACACCAUGGAA
rnacentral:rRNA from 1 species